UACGGAGGGUGCAAGCGUUAUCCGGAUUUACUGGGUUUAAAGGGCGCGUAGGCGGACAGGAAAGUCAGUGGUGAAAUCUUCGAGCUUAACUCGGAAACUGCCAUUGAUACUAUUUGUCUUGAAUACUUUAGAGGUAAGCGGAAUAUGUCAUGUAGCGGUGAAAUGCUUAGAUAUGACAUAGAACACCGAUUGCGAAGGCAGCUUACUACACAGUUAUUGACGCUGAGACACGAAAGCGUGGGGAGCAAACAGG
rnacentral:rRNA from 1 species